GACAGGUUGUGUUUGUAGAGGACAGGUCAUGUUUGUAGAGGACAGGUCGUGUUUGUAGAGGACAGGUCGUGUUUGUAGAGGACAGGUCAUGUUUGUAGAGGACAGGUUGUGUUUGUAGAGGACAAGCCGUCUUAGUAGAGGACAGGUUGUGUUUGUAGAGGACAGGUCAUCUUAGUAGAGGACAGGUUGUGUUUGUAGAGGACAGGUCGUGUUUGUAGAGGACAGGUCAUGUUUGUAGAGGACAGGUUGUGUUUGUAGAGGACAAGCCGUCUUAGUAGAGGACAGGUUGUGUUUGUAGAGGACAGGUCAUCUUAGUAGAGGACAGGUCGUGUUUGUAGAGGACAGGUCAUGUUUGUAGAGGACAGGUUGUGUUUGUAGAGGACAAGCCGUCUUAGUAGAGGACAGGUUGUGUUUGUAGAGGACAGGUCAUCUUAGUAGAGGACAGGUUGUGUUUGUAGAGGACAGGUCGUGUUUGUAGAGGACAGGUCAUGUUUGUAGAGGACAGGUUGUGUUUGUAGAGGACAAGCCGUCUUAGUAGAGGACAGGUUGUGUUUGUAGAGGACAGGUCAUCUUAGUAGAGGACAGGUUGUGUUUGUAGAGGACAGGUUGUGUUUGUAGAGGACAGGUUGUGUUUGUAGAGGACAGGUCAUGUUUGUAGAGGACAGGUUGUGUUUGUAGAGGACAAGCCGUCUUAGUAGAGGACAGGUUGUGUUUGUAGAGGACAGGUUGUGUUAUUAGAGGACAGGUUGUGUUUGUAGAGGACAGGUUGUGUUAUUAGAGGACAGGUCAUGUUUGUAGAGGACAGGUUGUGUUUGUAGAGGACAGGUUGUGUUAUUAGAGGACAGGUUGUGUUUGUAGAGGACAGGUUGUGUUUGUAGAGGACAGGUCAUGUUUGUAGAGGACAGGUUGUGUUUGUAGAGGACAGGUUGUGUUAUUAGAGGACAGGUUGUGUUUGUAGAGGACAGGUUGUGUUAUUAGAGGACAGGUCAUGUUUGUAGAGGACAGGUUGUGUUUGUAGAGGACAGGUUGUGUUAUUAGAGGACAGGUUGUGUUUGUAGAGGACAGGUUGUGUUUGUAGAGGACAGGUUGUGUUUGUAGA